GGGAGCCAGGAAGUAUUGAUGUUUCCGCCAGUUUAGCAUCAACAUUUGCUGCUUUCCUC
rnacentral:pre_miRNA from 1 species